AAAAAAAGAAAGAACUAGUUAGCUAGCUAAAAAAAAGGCAAGGAGUUCAAGUGACAGUCUUAAGAUCUGAGAGUACUGUGCAUGCUUCCAGAAAUCAUGAGAUGAGCCAGGAUAAAAGAAAAGACUGAAGAUGAGUGCAGGGAACAGAAAAUAAAGGCAUAUGGUCCAGAAAAAGUAGAAAAAAAGUUGGGGUAAACUUCAAGCCUUAGUAAGAGAGUUAGUCUUAAAGGAGAGGCAUUUUUAAUCUUCAAAAUCCAAAAGGGGGGGGGAAAUGCAUUACAGUAUCAGUUUUCAUGUUUUCUAUACAUCACGUUAUUAGGGAAAUAAAUCUAGUGUUGGCUUUUCUUAAAGCAGAGUUCCACUUAUAUUAUAUUUGCUAAUGGUCACAAAAUUAGGAAAAAAAAUAUUUCUGUCCUAGAUACAUAAUUUCAAUGAUCACCAGGGCCUUCUUCAAGUGGCAACAAAUUGCUACAAAGCAACUAAAAAAGGCAACAACAAAACACACACACAUACAAUUUAAUGGUUACUCAUAAAUACCAAGACCCUAUUGCGGAGCAACUUAAUUUCAACAGACACCUGCCUCUACGUAAGUAUAUGAGCAAGAAACACCCACAACCGUAGGCUGACGUGUAACCAGUUAAAAAACACACGUUGGUAUAUGCAGAAAACAUGAAUAAAGCCAACAAGAGAUACUAUUCAUAUGUUGAAACUCCCUGGCCAGUGCAUUACAUUUUCUAGGAUUCAAGAGCAGCCAAGAACUCGAGGCUUCUCACAUCACCCGCUUUUAAGAAUUUAAGAAGUCACCCCAACGGGCACACCCAGCCCAACUGAACCAACAGGGGCUCCGCUCUCCAUAGCACAGGGUGGUGGAAGCGACCUCUACACCUUCCCGCGAGGUCCCGUCUCCGACUUCCCCACGCGCCUCCCGGGCCCCGCGUAGACCGCCAACCGCACCGCCGAGCAACAGCAGCUCCUGCAAGUCUCCGGCUCACGCUGCCCUCCCACCCGCCUCGGGUCGGGUGUCGCUUUCACAAGCCCGGAAAGUGACCCACCGCCACUGUCAAAACCAGGAGCACCGCCACCCCGGCGGGCCCGUCAACAACUCCUCCAGAAUUUUUUUUUUUUUCUUUGAAAUUACCGGCCUUGGCUCGACAGGUUCCAUUUAAUUCAAAAAAAAAAACUUCCUUUAUGAAGACUGAGUGGAGUGUCCGUCAUGAAGACCCCCGUGGAUACAAUGACUGGACAGCUCGCGGAGAUGAUAUGAGCCUGCCUCAUUCCCAACACCCACAGCAUUUCCUACCUCUACCUGUGCUCCUCCAAACUGUUUUUGAUUGCACUCUAUUACCAAAUAGGAAAAAAUAAAAUAAAAAAGCCUAUAUACUCAUGUAAGUCACAUGCACGUCCUGUUGGGUAUGAUUUUUUAAUUUAAAAAGGAUAAGCUAAAGAUGAAACAAACAUUUAAAGUAACUGUAAGAGUUAUUUUUAGAUGAAUGGUAGAAAAACCCUUGUUACUCUCAGUAAAAAUAUCUAGUGAAAGCAAUAUGAUUGACUACGGUUCAAUGUUUGUAAAAAUCUUUAAUAUCUUGUGAAAGUUAUUAAAAUGUCUGAUUCAAUCUU